rnacentral:rRNA from 1 species
AACGAACGCUGGCGGCAUGCCUAACACAUGCAAGUCGAACGAGACCUUCGGGUCUAGUGGCGCACGGGUGCGUAACGCGUGGGAACCUGCCCUUAGGUUCGGAAUAACUCCCCGACAGGGGUGCUAAUACCGGAUCAUGUCUUCGGACCAAAGAUUUAUCGCCUUUGGAUGUGCCAGCGUUGGAUUAGCUAGUUGGUAGGGUAAAAGCCUACCAAGGCGACGAUCCAUAGCUGGUCUGAGAGGAUGAUCAGCCACACUGGGACUGAGACACGGCCCAGACUCCUACGGGAGGCAGCAGUGGGGAAUAGUGGACAAUGGGCGAAAGCCUGAUCCAGCAAUGCCGGGUGAGUGAUGAAGGUCGGAGGGUUGUAAAGCUCUAUUACCCGGGAUGAUAAUGACAGUACCGAGAGAAUAAGCUCCGGCUAACUCCGUG